rnacentral:rRNA from 1 species
UACGAAGGGGGCUAGCGUUGCUCGGAAUCACUGGGCGUAAAGCGCACGUAGGCGGAUUGUUAAGUCAGGGGUGAAAUCCUGGAGCUCAACUCCAGAACUGCCUUUGAUACUGGGCGAUGUGAGUCCGGGAGAGGUGAGUGGAACUGCGAGUGUAGAGGUGGAAAUUCGUAGAUAUUCGCAAGAACACCAGUGGCGAAGGCGGCUCACUGGCCCGGUACUG